rnacentral:rRNA from 1 species
AUGGGUUUCAUGAAUCACCAUAUCCUUAGAUUCGUCGACACAGCUUGUCGCCAGUACCAUAUAACUGGAAUUAACCGAUACAAGUCCAAGAAGGAUUGGUCGAUGCUGCUGGUUGGCGUCAAGCUGAUCGAGCACCUUGUAGCCAAAGUGAGUGCUGACAGUGGGAGAUCUCACCCUCUCAUUGAUUUGUUCAUACCAACCAUCGACAACGAGCACGACAUAUGCUACACUCAUCCUGAGAAACUUCCAGGUAUCACACUAAGUGACCUAAGCAAGCAUUUCUUCCAGUGCAAUUCCACAGCAUUCAAAAGGGGCACAUGGACGCGUCGCAAGAUACACUCAGAGUGCGGCAUGCACGCGAUGUGGCACAAGACCCGUAAUACUUUGUCGGUGAUGGUCAACGGUCGGCAGACGGGCAACAAAAAGGUUCUGGUGCUGCACACCAACAAGAACUUUGCCCAGCAGAGGACCAACUGGGUGAUGCACUAG